rnacentral:rRNA from 1 species
AGAGUUUGAUCCUGGCUCAGGAUGAACGCUAGCGGCAGGCUUAACACAUGCAAGUCGAGGGGCAGCACGGGUAGCAAUACCUGGUGGCGACCGGCAAACGGGUGCGGAACACGUACGCAACCUUCCCAAAACUGGUGAAUAGCCCUCUGAAAAGGGGAUUAAUACACCGUAAAAUAUAGCAGUGGCAUCAUUGUUAUAUAAUAGCUCCGGCGGUUUUGGAUGGGCGUGCGUCUGAUUAGGUAGUUGGUGGGGUAACGGCUCACCAAGCCAACGAUCAGUAACUGGUGUGAGAGCACGACCAGUCACACGGGCACUGAGACACGGGCCCGACUCCUACGGGAGGCAGCAGUGAGGAAUAUUGGUCAAUGGACGCAAGUCUGAACCAGCCAUGCCGCGUGAAGGAUGAAGGCGUUCUGCGUUGUAAACUUCUUUUAUCUGGGAAGAAACCUACGAUUUCUAUUGUAGCCGACGGUACCAGAGGAAUAAGCACCGGCUAACUCCGUGCCAGCAGCCGCGGUAAUACGGAGGGUGCAAGCGUUAUCCGGAUUCACUGGGUUUAAAGGGUGUGUAGGCGGGUAUUUAAGUCAGUGGUGAAAUCUCCAGGCUCAACCUGGAAACUGCCAUUGAUACUAUUUAUCUUGAAUAUUGUUGAGGUAGGCGGAAUAUGUCAUGUAGCGGUGAAAUGCUUAGAUAUGACAUAGAACACCGAUUGCGAAGGCAGCUUGCUAAACAAUUAUUGACGCUGAGGCACGAAAGCGUGGGGAUCAAACAGGAUUAGAUACCCUGGUAGUCCACGCCCUAAACGAUGAUUACUGGACAU